rnacentral:rRNA from 1 species
GUGAGUAGUUCAGAGUUUGAUCCUGGCUCAGGAUGAACGCUAGCGGCAGGCUUAACACAUGCAAGUCGAGGGGCAGCAUGAGGGUUAGCAAUAACCCUUGAUGGCGACCGGCGCAAGGGUGCGUAACGCGUGAGCAACUUGCCCGUUUCUGGGGAAUAACCGGUGGAAACGCCGACUAAUACCCCAUAGUAUUGAGUUCAGGCAUCUUUACUCAAUUAAAGAAUUUCGGAAACGGAUAGGCUCGCGUGACAUUAGCUAGAUGGCGGGGUAACGGCCCACCAUGGCGACGAUGUCUAGGGGUUCUGAGAGGAAGGUCCCCCACACUGGAACUGAGACACGGUCCAG